CUAUAAAAUGACUCUCGGCAACGGAUAUCUCGGCUCUUGCAUCGAUGAAGAACGUAGCGAAAUGCGAUACUUGGUGUGAAUUGCAGAAUCCCGUGAACCAUCGAGUCUUUGAACGCAAGUUGCGCCUGAAGCCUUUAGGCCGAGGGCACGCCUGCCUGGGUGUCACAC
rnacentral:rRNA from 1 species